CUCGGCGGUGCCAGGGCAGGCGGGCACCGCUGCCAGGGCCCCACCAUGCCAGGCAGCGACCCGGCCCUCCCCGUGGACCGGACCUACUCCGACCCCGGCCGACACCAGCGCCGAAAGAGCCGGAUCGAACGGCAUGACAUGAAUACCCUAAGCCUGCCCCUUAACAUUCGCCGUGGGGGAUCAGAUACCAACCUCAACUUCGACGUGCCCGAUGGGAUCCUCGACUUUCAUAAAGUGAAACUCACGGCAGAUAGCUUGAGGCAAAAAAUUCUGAAAGUGACCGAGCAGAUCAAAAUUGAGCAGACAUGCCGCGACGGCAACGUUGCGGAAUACCUGAAGCUGGUGAACAGCGCUGACAAACAGCAGGCUGCACGCAUCAAGCAAGUCUUUGAGAAGAAAAACCAGAAGUCGGCUCACUCCAUCGCCCAGCUGCAAAAAAAACUGGAACAGUAUCACAGAAAGCUCAAGGAGAUUGAACAGAAUGGAUCGUCCAAGAGCUCCAAGGACAUUUCCAAAGAUCCUCUGAAGGAUGCUCACGGCAAAUCCCGAACUUCUGGCCCGGGUCUGGAAAGUGGCAAAUCGGGGAUGCCAGGCGUGUCCCUGACCCCUCCCGUGUUUGUUUUCAGUAAGUCUCGGGAGUUUGCCAACCUGAUACGCAACAAGUUUGGCAGUGCAGACAACAUUGCUCACUUGAAAAACUCCCUGGAUGAAUUUCGGCCCGAGAGCAGCUCCAGAACCUAUGGAGGCAGCGCAACCAUUGUGGCAAAGCCGAAGUACGGCAGCGACGACGAGUGCUCCAGCGCAACUUCUGGCUCGGCAGAUAGUAACGGGAACCAGUCCUUUGGGGCGGGAGGGACCGGAACGCUGGACAGUCAAGGAAAGCUCACGAUGAUCUUGGAAGAGCUGAGAGAGAUAAAGGAGACUCAGGCCCAAUUGGCCGAGGAUAUCGAAGCUCUCAAAGUCCAGUUUAAAAGAGAAUAUGGGUUUAUUUCUCAGACCUUGCAAGAGGAACGAUACAGGUACGAACGUCUAGAAGAUCAGCUUCAUGAUCUGACAGAUCUUCAUCAGCAUGAGACUGCCAACUUGAAGCAGGAACUGGCCAGCAUAGAGGAGAAGGUGGCUUAUCAGGCCUAUGAGAGGGCCCGGGAUGUCCAGGAAGCCUUGGAAUCUUGCCAGACUCGGAUUUCUAAACUGGAGCUUCAUCAGCAAGAACAACAAGCAUUGCAGACAGAUACUGUUAAUGCCAAAGUCCUCCUGGGGAAAUGUAUAAAUGUAAUCCUGGCCUUCAUGACUGUCAUUUUAGUAUGUGUCUCAACAAUUGCAAAAUUUGUAGCACCUAUGAUGAAGAGUCGUUUCCAUAUUAUUGGCACUUUUUUUGCAGUCACGCUGUUUGCGAUAUUUUGUAAAAACUGGGAUCAUAUUAUAUGUGCCAUAGAAAGAAUAAUAAUACCCAGAUGAAUCCACGGGGUUGUCUUCAAAUUCUUGUCCUUUAUUUUUAAGAUACAUAACAUGCUAAUAACUAGAUUCUUCAAUUAGCUGAUGUUCAGACUGAAUGAAGGAAGAUAUGAAAAAGGAUGUAAAUAAUUAAAAUUCACUUAUUUGAUGUGGCAGUUGCCUAUUUAAUCAUUGUAUGUAGUUGUCAAACUGUUGUGAAACAUUUUCCUUAUCUUUUGCUGCCUUAAUCUGACCAGAUUUCCGCUCUGUAAAACCAGCACAACACAGGGAGAGUUUUCUGGUGACACCAGGACACCACUGUUGUUAGAACAAGAAAUAUGAAUUUUAAAACUUGUCAUCAUGUACAGUUCCCCAUAACAGCAACAAUACAGGUCUCCCUUAUUUUACAAGGGUUCUUUGCAUAUCGGUUUUGUUUACAGAGGUUAUUUUAUACCAAAAAUUCACAGUAAUUGGAGGUGGUUUAAAAAUAUUUGAGUGUGCGUCCUGGGUCUCAUCUGCCCUCAGGCUACUCAAAAUAUAGUUCACUGCUCGUGCCUUGUAAUGCAAGUUUUUUUUGUUCCUGGUUUUAAACAUGGAACAUUGUACUGUCUCAGUUGGUUCCUUCUUAUUUGUUGUUUAGUUAUAACUUAUCUGUUUAGAGAAAGGAGAAUUUAGUAUCUUCCCCAAUUUUUUUUGCCUUUUUUAGAUUUCUAGGGUCUGAUGCCUACAGCAUAACUGCAUAAACUCCGUUUUUAUCAUUUGAUUUCCCCCGAGGGCAUCUUGAACCAGCCACUACUUUGGAAAUGUUUCCUUUCCCACACUCCCCUGGGGCCAGCACAGAGGAAGCAAGAAGAGUUUUUGAAUAUCUAAAAUAAACCCGGUUAUAAGUACCAUUCAUCUUAUUUUUGUAAUCCAAAGAGCCUGGAACCUAAACACCCUUUAAGUCCAACUGGGUUUGCUAUUCAGUAUUUUCUUUGCAAUGUCUAGAACAUAACCCCUGUAUAUAACAAGGGAGACCUGUAUAGCAUUACUGGGUGAAGCACAAGGACUGGAAAUUUCAAAGCAUUUGUUCCUUUGGGAACACCCUAAUAAUAGUGGAAUUAUUCCUUCUUGCAUUUGUACACUACCCUUGGCUUGGUCGUAAACAGCUAGCUAUCUCUUUUGUCUGAAGAUGUGCAAAAUAUCUGCCUGACACACAGACUGUGCAUUUUAUAGAGAGGUAAUUUUGAAGCUGGUACUGGGAUCCCAUAAGCACACUUGCUCAUGUGGUGAUCCACUUAAAUGUGAAAAAAAAGCAAAACAUUUGAAAAUACAUGCUUCAGGCACACCCUUGUGGAAAAAUCUCAAAGUCUUUUUCUUUAAGAGAAUAGAGCAAGUACUGCCUUGUGGCCUGGACCUACUGUUUUGAUCAUGGUUCAUAGUAGAAAGUUAAAAUCAGCACAAAUUUGGUGGAAUAUUUGAUGAGGGAGAUGCAGGAGUGUGGUGGGAGGAAACAAUUUGAAGUGGUGUAGUUCAGAUUAGGGAUUGCUAAAAUUACAUGAAGGAGACAGAAGUCCCUUUUUAAAUACAGGAUCUUAAAGCCAAAUGGCCUAUACGUUCCCUUUUAAUGAAAAUAUUGUUUUAAGCCUUAUUAUUUCCUGUUCUCCUGAAAUGAAAUCAUUCUAAGAGGUUUACAAUUUUAAUCCAUUUAGAUUAUGUACUUCCUUACCCUGAGCUUGCCUUGGUAAUAUUUUUCUGCUUAGAUAAGACAAAGGAGCAAAAGACCUUAAGUGGAAAAUUGCCACUCUCCACAUUCCUCCAAAAACAGCCUCCCACAGUUAUACGAGGGGGUGCAUGUGUGUUUUAACUUCAAUAUCCUGAGUUGUUGAAACUAAUACAUUGUGUCCAGACAGCAGUGUUUUUAAUUGCUUGGAUUUUAAUUAAGUGCAGUAGUUAGCCAAAGAGUGUUUUUGUAGAGACACUCUAAAAUUUGAAGGCUGCUUGUGUUGAUGGGUUACUGAAAUUAGAUAAACCAGCUACUUGGCAAGUGGUUGCAGGGAUUAAAAGAUUGGGUUUUGCUGUAUAUCAGGCAUGAAUGGGUUUUCCUACAAAUAAAAAAAACCCAACAUUUCCAAGAAAGCGUUUGGUCUUCAGAGUCUUUGAACCAGGAAACCGUGAAUAUGAGGAAAAAGCCAAGUCCCUUCCUGGAGCCUGGCUGCUCUCCCAACGUGAGUGUGAGGCUGCCAGUCUACGCCCCGGAAUGUGUUCUCGUGUCAUAGUGAUUCACCAAGCCAUGUGCAAGGAAAAAGUCCCCGAAUCUUUACGCUCCUGAGGCGGUAGAAGGGAGCCUGAAUGGUCUGCCUAGCUUUGUGGUGAUCAGUACCUCCAGUACCAACUAUAAGAUUCAUAAAGGAAUUUUGGUAGAAAUACAGUUGAAGAUGAACUGAAAUAUGACAACGCUAACUGCAAGGGAUUUUCUCCAACAGCUCUUGGAUGAAAUAAGAAUAAUGAUGGUGAUGAAGCAGUCAGGUUAUUGUUUAUCUGUAGACAGCCUUCACUCUUGAGAAUUAUUUGGUAAUUUUUUAUUAGCAAACUGUAAUGUUGAAUUAAACUUUGUGAAGGAAUAUAUUUAACUCAUUUAUAAUAGACACCACCUAAAGUAACAUACCCAUCAACUCCUUUUUUAUCACCCUCAUUCAUGCUAAAUUUUAAAAGCAGUAACUUUUCCUCAUGUAUGUGUUUUCAUUCAAUCACAUAUUUGCUAUGAGUUGCAAGGCACUGCACUGGGCAGUAUUUACAGCAGCAUUGGGGAGAAAAGUUUUCCACUACAAGCUUCUCUUUGUCCUUUCUUGAAAUCAGACUGUCUUAUUUUAAUGUCUGUCUCCCCCUUUAGACUGUAAGCUCAUUGUGGGCAGGACAUGUAUCUACCAACUCUGUUGAAUUGUACCCUCUCAAGAAGUUAGUACAAUGCUCUCUCUGCACACAGUAAGCACUCGGGAAGUAUCACCGAUUGAUCUGGAAUGCAGUAGAUACAA